AGCUACUGCUACGUACCAGUUCUGACAGACGCUGAGGGUGCAGAUGAAAAAUCCGGUUCCUACUUUCAGAUCAGUCAGCCCAGCCAGGGAGGUGAGCCGCCUGAGGGGACUGGCUGCCCGGGUGUUGGAGGAGCUAAGAAGCCAAGCACAGGGGACAGCGAGGCCGCCCAGAGAUGAGCAGGGGCAGAAAGCCAUCGCUACCUUUGAGAUGAGAGGGACUGAGGGUGGAAUCGGGGUUACCAGAAAGUGCAGCCGCACAGGGCUGUCCAGCGGAACUGGAGCCAUGGAGGUGUUGAAGCCAUGAAGUCCACCGACAGACACCACCUGGGGCAGAGAAGGUUGGAGAGAAAAGCCCUUUCCUCCUCCUCCUAAACUUCCGGUCAUCCAUCACUGCUUCCCCUGGACAAACUGAGAGAGAAGCCAGGUGACCUGAGAGCAGAAAACAUAGUCUCUGGGGUCAGCCCCACUGCAAUGCCAAACUGAGCUGAGGAAGGUCAAAGGAUGAAACUGGAGGCAACAGGCCCUGGGCCAGCACACGAGGCCUGCCCUUCUCUUAUCUGUCCCCUCCACUACAGUCAGGGUGACCGUUCCAAACACCCAUCUGACACUUUACCCUGCCUAAAAUCCUCCCGUGCACCCCAGUUCCUUAGCUGACACAUGAGCCCUUCACACCCGGCCCCUCCCACUCCCCAGCCUGGUCUCUUGCCCCCUCCCAUGUCCACCAUGAGCUCUAGCUGCUUGGUGAGUUGCAGUUUCUAGGAUUUCCCUGUUGCCCCCUGUCCCUUUGCAUGGACCAUCCUUUCUACGUUUCUGGAAUGUCCUCUCAUCCCGCAAAUCUCGGUCCCUCUGUCUUCCCUGUGUUUAACUUUCAUACUCUGUGCUACCAAAGUAACUUGUAGUUAAGAUUCCUAUAUUCUAACCCUUUCCAUGUUCGCUUGUAGCUAUUGAUUUCCCAGCCUGUGUCCUGUUUGCCUAAAGGGCAGGCCUUCGUCUUAUACCUUUCUUCCUCCCCAGGGCUGCCACGGCAUCUGGCAAACAAUGCUCACUCAAUUAGCAUUUCUUGGAUGGACGGAUGGAGGAGCACCAGUUGUUGCUCAGGUCCUAGCCCAGAUAUUCUACAGGAGAGCUGUGCACACUCUUGUCCAACCACAGCCAGAAGCAGGAUGGAGGGGGAGCUGGAAAUGCAUUCGGGAACACAGUAUCACCUGUGAGAAUACAGUAUCACCUCCCGCCUAGGAGAGCUCCUGGGGUGAGGCCUCACCCACCACCCUACUUGGGGUUUCAGAGGCCUUGGUUUCCUGCUGCUUUUAUGCUGAUUGGCCACGCUGGAGCCCGUUUCCAUGUGGGAAGUCACAUCACAAAUGUCUCUGCACAGACGUUCUUGGCAUGGCUAAGUCAGAAUCCUCAGAUCAUCAUUGGGGGACAAUCGAUGCUCUUGUUACCUUUUAAUGACAAUCAAUUCUCUCUGGCUCUUUGCUAAGUAAGUGUCAUUGACAACAAUUGCAUUUUGUGAACCUGGUCGCCAGUCUUAAGUUUGCAGCUUCCUCCAGCUGAUCAGUCUUAUUACCGCUCUGUUCUCAGUCAGUCGUGCAGUAUGCUCAGCUGUACAAUUAAUGUUCUCUCCACUCUGUUUUUUUCAGUCAACAUGGCAGCUCCAUUAAUCAAAAAAGAAAAUCCACUCAUGUGCCCAGGCUAUAAGGGAGGGGCUGAGGACAGCCUGGGCGCUGGCUGGCCUCUUUGCAGACCCUGAGUAAAUGACGCCCAGUGGCUAGUGUCAGACAGACUAGGUUUCCAGCCCCAACUUUGCUGUUUGCCAGCUGUAUGCCCUUGGGUAAAUCACCCACCCUCUCUGAGGCUCUGUUUCAGCAUAUGUAGAAUGGGAUAAUAAUAGUAUCCACCCUAGAGGGUUGGUAAGAGGAUUAAAUGAGAUGAUGCAUGAGACAGGGGGUUACUAUAACGUGUGUCACAUCUAAGAAGCUCCAUAUAUCAUCAUCAUCGUCAUCGUUACUAUCCUUAAGAAUCCCAGAACUGCAUAGUCCAGCCUCUCUCCGUGUUGAUGCUGACCUACCCAGGAGCCACUAGCCAUAUGUGGCCACUACAGAGCAGCUGAAAUGUAGACUCUAAAUUGAAAUGUGCUCCAAGUAUACUGCAUUUCAAAGACAAUGUGCAAAAGAGAAUGCAAAAUAUCUCAACACCUUUUUUUAAAAAAAAGACUUUUAGGGCCGGCCCGGUGGCUCAGGCGGUUAGAGCUCCGUGCUCCUAAC